rnacentral:rRNA from 1 species
GAUGAACGCUGGCGGCGUGCCUAAUACAUGCAAGUCGAACGAAACUUCUUUAUCACCGAGUGCUUGCACUCACCGAUAAAGAGUUGAGCGGCGAACGGGUGAGUAACACGUGGGCAACCUGCCCAAAAGAGGGGGAUAACACUUGGAAACAGGUGCUAAUACCGCAUAACCAUAGUUACCGCAUGGUAACUAUGUAAAAGGUGGCUAUACUACCGCUUUUGGAUGGGCCCGCGGCGCAUUAGCUAGUUGGUAGGGUAAAGGCUUACCAAGGCAAUGAUGCGCAGCCGAAUUGAGAGGUUGAUCGGCCACAUUGGGACUGAGACACGGCCCAAACUCCUACGGGAGGCAGCAGUAGGGAAUCUUCCACAAUGGGCGAAAGCCUGAUGGAGCAACGCCGCGUGGGUGAAGAAGGUCUUCGGAUCGUAAAACCCUGUUGUUAGAGAAGAAAGUGCGUGAGAGUAACUGUUCACGUUUCGACGGUAUCUAACCAGAAAGCCACUGCUAACUACGUG